CGUGACAGUCUGGCUCAUGUUUCUUCAUAAAGCUCUAAGCCAGCUAUUAAUAACAGCCCAGAGAGUCUUCUGAUCCACCUAAGAGCAUAUGGUGUUUUUCACAAAAGGGAAGAGAGAUCAUCUUCUUGACUUUGGACUUUGCUUACGGAGCCCCUGAACAGAGGACCUGCUCGGUCCUUGUGAGCUCAGCUGAAACCAGACAAUCCAGUCGUGCUUCAGGACCAGCGUAGCUUCCUGCUAAGGGUGCAUAUACUCAGUGCUCUCGAACACGUGCGCCAGGCUUCUAAACAACAUGUGGAAGGGAGGCAUGACAGCCAACUGGAAGCAGGCAGACGCUGGCCUGGUGUGGAGCCCUGGCUUGGAGACUAACCCACUGUGGACCGAGGUUGCUAAGAGACCACCUGUGCUGAGUGCACUUUGUUCUGGCCAGAGUUUACGGAGAGAACACCAAGGAGCAGGGCUACCUACCACUACCUGGGAUUAAGCCAGGGAGCAAGAGCAUUCUGGAUAAGAUGUGUAAAAACUGGAUAUUAAUGUCUACUACUAUUCCCGCAAGUCCAGAAGAUGAAAUUAUUGGAAGACUUCUAAAAAUUUUGUUUGUUCUCUUUGUCGACUUUAUGUCUAUUAUAUAUGUCAUUGUAACUUCCUAAAGAGCUGAAUUCCCUUGCUUUACAUGUAAAUUUCACAUUAAUUCCACUGAAUAAAAAUUUGUAGUUCAAUAUGUUGAGUGAUUUUAAUUUGAUCUCCAGUUAUUCUAGAAGCCAAAAGGACAUUCAAUCAAAACAAUAUUGUGUAUUGUUUAGAACCUAAGGUUUAUAAAACAUCGUAAAAAUUAAUGUCUUUUUUUCCCCAGAAAUCUACACUACC
rnacentral:lncRNA from 1 species